CGUUCUGUCUCACCUUCGACAGCCUCCGCUCGUCCUCGUCUGCUCCUGCUCCGCACGCCUGUCCACACGGAAAACUCCAAAAAGGACGAAAGCGGCGUUUCGCCGAAUGGGUACAAAUCUUCAAAUGGAAUCUAGCACGGGCCACUCGCUGCUUUGCAUCUGCUAUAGAAUGGCCAAAUUGACUGCAACACGGCUCACAUCGACAGAAUGACCCAUAAAAUGGCUGCCAUCCUGGCUUCACGAGGCUUUGGCAGAUAGUGCUGAAGGACCUGAUGCAGGUUGUGAAGUCGAGCCGUCCCUCCUCAACGUUUGGACCUGUUGCAAAAUUCCAUGCCAAGUCCUUGAACUGUUGCUUCGCAGCUUGCAGUAAGAGUGCUGCCAGAGAUCCUCAAACUGCUGGGCCAAGAGACAAAUGCGACAAGCUCGAAGCAGUGUUGGCAGGUUUGACCACCUUGGAUGAGUUGCUGGACCAGUAGCAGCUUGGCCUAUUGGUGCUGAUCACGCUAGACCAGCUGUUGCAGCAAAAGGUUCCAGUCUCCAGUUGCUGCGGCAGCGUAGAGUAAAACGGAACUGCGUUUCAGAGUUGAGGAAAACGUUUUUGGGUCCUCUGUGCCGCAAGAGGGGAGGAACCUGCUCACUGCCAGAGUCCACAGUCGAGCAGAAAACACUUUUUGCCCUUCUUCUUACUCUGUUAUUUGCAAGUGUCCCCUUCUCGAAGCGGCAAUAAACGCGAUCCGCUUCCUGCUGAUAAAAGACCACACCGCUUGUCUCUCUCGCUGGCAAGUUUCUUGCCAAAAACAUCUUUGUCUGUACAACAAAUUGACUUGUGUGGAACUCACGGAUGUCUUUCCUCAGGUCAACACACCUGUCCCGUGUUCCUCUCACGAGCCGACCACUUCGCUGCCCAGCAACAGACUGCCAUCCAACUUACAACUUUUUCUUCUGCUUUGUCUACUCUGCAAAAGAAAUAAAGCUUGAUUACAAAGAACACAAACUAAAAGCUAGAUUACAAAGAA